GACGAACGCUGGCGGCGUGCUUAACACAUGCAAGUCGAACGGAAAGGCCCUGCUGUUGUGGGGUGCUCGAGUGGCGAACGGGUGAGUAACACGUGAGUAACCUGCCCUUGACUUUGGGAUAACUUCAGGAAACUGGGGCUAAUACCGGAUAGGAGCUCCUGCUGCAUGGUGGGGGUUGGAAAGUUUCGGCGGGUGGGGAUGGACUCGCGGCUUAUCAGCUUGUUGGUGGGGUAGUGGCUUACCAAGGCUUUGACGGGUAGCCGGCCUGAGAGGGUGACCGGCCACAUUGGGACUGAGAUACGGCCCAGAGUCCUACGGGAGGCAGCAGUGGGGAAUCUUGCACAAUGGGCGCAAGCCUGAUGAAGCAACGCCGCGUGCGGGAUGACGGCCUUCGGGUUGUAAACCGCUUUCGCCUGUGACGAAGCGUGAGUGACGGUAAUGGGUAAAGAAGCACCGGCUAACUACGUG
rnacentral:rRNA from 1 species